rnacentral:lncRNA from 1 species
UUUUUUUUUGAAAGAUUAAAAGUGCAGUUACGACACAAGAAGUCUGAAUUAGGAGGCACCAACACAUUUUGAAUGGGAGCUUCAAAGGAGCUACAGGAAACAUGGAAGCACAAUAGUCAGAGAGAUAAUGGCUGAGAAUUCCUCAGGACUGAAUAAGAGGAUGUGAGAGAUCAGGAACCCCAAAGAUGUAAUGGGAUAGAUGAAGACAAAUCCGCACCUAUACACACAGAAGAGAAACUGCAAAACAUACAGAGGUAAUCUUAGAAGCUACAGAGAGAGAAGCCACGCUAUUCUUCUCCUUAGCAGCCCUAGAUAUCAGGACACAAGAUGAUAACAGCUUUAAAGUGCCAGGGAUUGCAUCAGUGAGUUACAAUUAGCUUUAGCUACAAGUAAUAGAAAAAAACAAAACAAGAAAAACCAGAAACUAAACAGAAGUCUAGAAGUUUUGUUGUCAGAGUUUGGGGUUAGUAGAUGCAAACUAUUGCAUUUGAAGAGGAUAAGCAAUGAGAUCCUGCUGUAUAGUACAGGGAACUCUAUCUAAUCAUUUGUGAUGGAGCAUGAUAGAGGAUGAUAUGAGAAAAAGAGGGUAUAUAUAUUUAUAUGUACGACAGGGUCACUUUGCUGUAUAGCAGAAAUUGACAGAACAUUGUAACUCAGCUGAAACAGAAAAAAUAAAAAUAUUUAAAAACAAAGUUUAGUUCCCUCAUAUAUCAAAGUUCAGAAGCUAAUAUUCAAGACAACUGUAAUGGCUUUUGUCUGGGCUCCUUGAAGAUCCAGGCUCCUUCCCUCUCUUGGAUCUGUGGUCCCCAGGAUGUAUCCCUUGUCUGAUAGCCCAAGAAGACAUUUCUGCCAUCAGAUCUGUGUUCCAAGCAACUGGAUGGACUAAGAGAUAAGAGGGAGAAAAGGGCACCCUUGAGUUGUUGGAUGAGGAGGGUUCAGAGGUGGCACUUCCAUCAACAGCCAUUGGCUAGAACUUAAGGACAUGGUAACCGCUGGCGAGGAUGACCAGUGUGCUCUUCACUUUGUUCUGACCAAGUCAAAAAUUCCUUUUCUGGAGUUCCCAUCAUGGCGCAGUGGUUAACGUAUCCGACUAGGAACCAUGAGGUUGCAGGUUCCAUCCCUGGCCUUGCUCAGUGGGUUAAGGAUCUGGCGUUGCCGUGAGCUGUAGGUUGCAGACAUGGCUUGGAUCCUGUGUUGCUGCGGCUCUGGCCUAGGCUGGCAGCUACAGCUCCAAUUGGACCCCUGGCCUGGGAACCUCCAUAUGCCACGGGAGCGGCCAUGGAAAAGGCAAAAAGACAAAAAAAAAAAAAUUCCUUUUCUAUGGAAGAAGCAGACAAUAGAUACUGGGGACAGACAGCAACUCCUUCCAUACUAUGUAUAAAGUAGGUUUGAGGGGUUUUUUUGGUUUGUUUGUUUGUUUGCCAUUUCUUGGGCCACUCCCGUGGCAUAGGGAGGUUCCCAGGCCAGGGGUCCAAUUGGAGCUGUAGCUGCCAGCCUAGGCCAGAGCCACAGCAACGCAGGAUCNAGGAUCGAACCCGCAACCUCAUGGUUCCUAGUUGGAUUCGUUAACCACUGAGCCACGACGGCAAGUACGAGUUUUUGUUUUUUUAUAAAAAGAUAUUUUAAUUCCAAGAAUUAUGAUUAUAGCAUAAUUUAAAACAGCCAUAGUUAAAAUAAAUAAAUAAAUAAAUAAAUAAAUAAAAAGUCCCUGAGAUCUGAUUUGGGAAACUCUGGAUAACUGAGUGUCUGUAACAGAGUUGUUCGUGCUGAGGAUUCAUGGGUGGAUUUUGAGGGAUCUGUCAACUUUCUACAUGCAGAGUUGGAGGGUUUUGUGCAGUUUCCUGAGAGGUGCUUCAGAGCUUUUGAUAGGUAUUAGAGGUGUCUAUGUCACCCUCACCAGAGGAGCUAAAAUUAACUUUUUAUUUUUUUAUUUAUUUUUUUUUGUCUUUUGUCUUUUUGUUGUUGUUGUUGCUAUUUCUUGGGCCACUCCCGCGGCAUAUGGAGGUUCCCAGGCCAGGGGUUGAAUCAGAGCUGCAGCCACCGGCCUUAUCCAGAGUCACAGCAAAGCUGGAUCCGAGCAGCAUCUGCAACCUACACCACAGCUCAUGGCAACUCCAGAUAGUUAACCCACUGAGCAAGGGCAGGGACCGAACCGGCAACCUCAUGGUUCCUAGUUNUUCGUUAACCACUGCGCCACGACGGGAACUCCUGUUUAUUUAUUUAUUUAUUUUUUUGUCUUUUGUAGGGCCAUACCCUUAGCAUAUGGAGGUUCCCAGGCUAGGGGUUGAAUCGGAGCUGUAGCUGCCGGCCUACACCAUAGCCAUGGCAGCUCGGGAUCUGAGCCGAGUCUGUGACUUACACCACAGCUCAGGGCAACGCCAGAUCAUUAACCCNCGAGCAAAGGCAGGGCAGGGACCGAACCGGCAACCUCAUGGUUCCUAAUCGGAUCCGUUAACCACUGCGCCACGACUGGAACUCCUUUAAGUUCUGUUUAAAUGUGUACACGCUGUUGAAGAUUAAGAGCAAAUUAGUUCAACAAAGUCCAGUAAGAUAAAACCUUCACAUAAUUAAAGAGUGUAGUAGGUGUUUAUAAUGGGACAAUUUACCCUCUGGCCUUUUGGAUUGUAACACUCACCCAGUACAUAAACUCUUCUGUCAUUAGUUAGACAGGUUUUAGAUCUUGCUCACUAAAUAUAUCACAUCCCCUUUAAGAUAGGACUUGGUUUUUUAUUCAUCUUUUCAUGCUUUCAAGGGCAGCUCCUUGCCCACAGUAAGCAUCUUACUGAUUGCCAGAUAUCCGUUUAGUCAUUCUCUAGUAACUACCUAUCUGGCUUGGCCCUAUCCAUUUCCUGCUCCCUAGAGGAGGGUCCUUCGAUGAUAUAGGCUAUUAUUGCCCUUUUAAUUCUUCACUUCUUUUUCUGUUUCCUACUUUUCCUCUGAACCUCGGUUGCAUAGAUAGAUAUGGUAUCCUCCUCCUCCGAGAAAGGAUAACAGCUUGAGCUUUAGAUAUGUUAAUUACCCAACUGUAGAUAAAAAGCCUGCAGCUCAGGUUGAUAGAAGCCAAAUUUCUUAGUUCCCCCUUCUGGUCUUAUCCACAUCAUCACACAUAUUUGCACUCCUGCCUAGUCAAGACGCCCAAGCAAGUUUCCCCAAGCCCUCUUCUCCUGUUGUGUUCAAGGCUGAGGAGUAAGAGGUAGAUUUUAUCAACAAUAUGCAACCAGAGAACUUCAGAUUUUCGAGGGCUCAGAAGCAUUAUUAUAGCAAUCACUUAGAGUAGGCACUAUAUCAACUCUAUUUGGGGCAAAUAAGGCAAUAAAGACAAGACUUGCUAAUAUUUAUUGAACUGUUUUUAUCAUUGCUGCUUUUAAAAAGUGCUUACUGUGUGUUAGGCCUGACCUAUGAGUCUUACAUGAAUUUAUUUAUUUAUUUAUGUAUUUAUUUUUGUCAUUUCUAGGGCUGCUGCCCAGGCAUAUGGAGGUUCCCGGGCUAGGGGUCCAAGCGGAGCUGUAGCUGCCGGCCUACACCAGAGCCACAGCAAUUCGGAAUCUGAGCCACUUCCGCAACCUACACCACAGCUCACGGCAACGCCAGAUCCUUAACCCACUGAGCAAGGCCAGGGAUCAAACCCACAACCUCAUGGUUCCUAGUCAGAUUUGUUAACCACUGAGCCAUGAUGGGAACUCCAAGAGUCUUACAUGAAUUUAAUCCUCCAUGUGGCCCAAAAAGUUCUGUUGCUAAUAUUUUUCUCCCCAUUUCAUAGAGGGGGAAACCAACAUAAAACAAACUAACUUGUGUGAAGAAAGGGGAACCCUCUUAUGCUGUUGAUGGGAAUGUACAUUGUUAUAACCACUAUGGAAAACAGUAUGGAAGUUCCUCAAAAAACUAAAAAUAGAACUACCAUAUGAUCUGGCAAUCCCAUGCCUGAACGUAUAUCCAGAGAAAACCAAUAAUUUGAAAAGGUGCAUGCACCCUACUCUUCGUUGCAGUACUAUUUACAAUUGCCAAGACAUGGAAGCAACAUUAACAUUCAUCAACAGAGGAAUGGAUAAAUACAAUGGAAUAUUACUCAGCCAUAAGUGAAUGAAAUAAUGCCAUUUGCAGCAACAUGGAUGAACCUAGAGAUUAUCAUACUAAGCAAAGUUAGCCAGUGAAUGACAAACAUUAUAUGAUAUCACUUAUAUGUGGAAUCUUUAAAAAGGGAUACAAAUGAACUUAUUUGCAGAAGAGAAACAGACUCACAAACUUUGAAAACAAAUUUAUGGCUAUCAAAGUGGACAGGCUGAUGGGAGGGAUGGACUGGGGUUUGGAACUGGCCUAUGCACACUGUGGUAUAUGGAAUGACUGACCAGUAGGGGACCUGCUAUGGAGCCCAGGGAACUCUACCCAAUAUUCUGUGAUAACCUGUACAGGAAAAUAAUCUGAAAAAAAAAAAAAAAAGAAGAAGAAGAAAGAAAAUCUGGCAUUUCUAUUGGAUUUCCCUUCAAACAAACAAACAAAAAAAUUGUUUUUGUCGCUAAUAUUUUUCUCCUUUUUCAUAAAUAGGGAAACCAAAGCAAAGCAAAGUAAUUUGUCCCGUGUCACACAAACCAUAAGUGAAGGGUACAUACUUCAAAUCUAGGCUCCAGACGAUUGAGUUCUGAACGACUGCUUCUCAGUGAACUCAGGACAGCACCAAAAAAAGGCCUUAAGUUUUUAAAUUUUAAAUUUGCAGUACAGUGUAGUAGCUAAAAGCACACAGACGCACACACUCUAGAGUCAAGUAAAUCUGUGUUUUAAUUUCAAGUCCACUAGUACUAACUCAGGUAAAUUAUUUAAAUCCAAUUCAAUGAAUUCUUUAAACCCUCUAAGCUAUCUCUCAUGUGCCAAGUCUCUGUCUUAGUACCUGUCUUGUGGGAUUGUUUUGUGGAUUAAGUGUAAAUUGCUUUACACAAUGCCUGGUACAAAGCACAUACUCAAGAUAGACAUGCAUAAACAGACACAGGAUGUGAAUGUGAGACUGGAGACUCCAGCCAAAUUAUUUGAUUCCUACCGAAUCACAUUUUGCCAAUAAAGCAACUAUGGCUAGAGAGAGUUGUUGAAUCAAAAGACCUAAGUAAUGAAGGGAGAAAGGAAGCAGGAAGAAAAUGGAUCCUAGAAUCCAGUUUUGGCGCAGGGGACUUCCGUUUAAUACCUUCGUUGAGAAUAGCCUGAGCUAUAAGCAGCCUUCCAAAUGUAGCCAUUGGAAAUAUUCAGGUCUAAUUCCUAAACAGCUCGAUGCAGGGAGAGGACAAUGACCCACACAGGUGACAUCCUGCUCAGUACAGAGGAGAAGAAGGAAAGUGUACAUUGCAUGUAGUCUAGCAAACAAGGAAGAUGGAAGACUGUCCAGCUAUCACAACUCUUGUCUGAUUUGUUAGGAAGACAAACUCAACCUGCAACAAAGAAUGUUAGGAAUGGAAAAUUAAAUGAACUUUUGCAUAUUAGAUCUCUUUAAUGACACUUAAGGCAAAGUUAGGACUCAGGUGUUAAACUUACACGUAGGGAUCUAAAAAAAUACAACAAGAGUCCCCAUUGUGGCUCAGCGGUAACAAACCCCACUAGUAUCCAUGAGGAUUUGGGUUUGAUCCCUGGCCUCAGUCUGUGGGUUAAGGACCUGGCAUUGUCAUGAGUUAUGGUGUGGAUCACAGAUGUGGCUCAGAUCCCAUGUUGCUGUUGCCGUGGUCGUGGUGUAGGUCAGCUGCUACAGGUCUGCUUCGACCCCUAGCCUGGAAACUUCCAUAUGCCAUGGGUGCGCGCCCUAAAAAGACAGAAAAAUAAAUAAAUAAAAAUUAAAAAAUGCAACAAACUAGGAUUUCCCUUAUGGCACGGGGGUUAAGGAUCCAGUCUUGUUACUGCUGUGGCUUGGGUCACAACUGUGGCAGGAGUUUGAUCCCUAGCCCAGGAACUUCCACAGGCCAGAGACACCACCACCAAAUUAGUGAAUAUAACAAAAAAAGAGGCAGACUCAUAGAUAUAGAGAAUAAACUAGUGGUUAUCAGUGGGACGGAGGCAGGAGGGGCAGUAUAGGGGUUGGGGAGUGGGAGGUAGAAACUAUUGGGUGUAAGACAUGUAACAAGGAUGCAUUUUACAACUCAAAGACUAUAGCCAAUAUCUUGCAAUUACUGUAAAUGGAGUGUAAAUUUUAAAAAUUACGUAUAAUACUACUCAGCCGUAAAAAGAACAAAAUAAUGCCAUUUACAGCAACAUGGAUGGAACUAGCGACUCUCAUACUAAGUGAAGUAAGUCAGAAAGAGAAAGAUCAGUACCAUAUGAUAUCUCUUAUCAUACCUGGAAUCUAAUAUACAGCACAAAUGAAACUUUCCACAGAAAAGAAAUUCGUAGACUUGGAGAAGGGGUUUGUGGUUGCCAAGGCGGGGG